AUACUAAUUAGUUUACUUAAUGCACUAUAAUAUUUAAUUAGUAUGAAGUAUGUAAGUAAAGUCUUAAUGUACUGCAAAGCGCCAAUAUUAGAAUUUGUGGAACUUCACAAAACGAUUUCCUUAGGUUCCUUAUUAUGCCCUUGUCUUAAUUAUUGCGCUAUAAAAAACGAAAACAUGCUAGCUAGCUAAUUCAUUCACUCGCUGCAUUAUAAAUUUGACUAAUAUAAAUAACCUAUGGUAUUGCAAAACGGAGUUUGUGGAGCCUUAGAAACCUUACCAAAAAAGAUCAAUAAUUACUUUUCCCUCUAAUUAUUAAGAGAGAGAGAGAGAGAGAGAGAAAGAGAGAGAGAGAGAAUCUUAUUUAUUUCCACUACCUACUAAUUAUAUGUGUUACCGCCAAGCGGGUGAAAGAAGUUGUUGUGCAAGCGAGUUUGUCAAUGAGGAAGGAAAGGACCUGGAGGUCAAGGCGAGGACCAAGACGAGGCAUAAGUCAGCGAAUUUCUUGUACGGUCGGUGUUGAGGUAGUGUUGAUGUAAGAAGAUGAAGGAUGCUUGUUAUGACAUGAGGCUAAGAUGAGGCUGGCCUUAUCGCUGUCGCUAAUGGAUAACGAUGGACAGGGUAGGAACCCAGGCAGUAACUGAGGACGAUAGAGACACUUUGCUGAGGACACUCGUGCAGAGAGGGCGUGUGUCGGUGCAGAGACCGACCUAUCUGGAGCACUUGUCAGAAAGGGCGUGCACGUUACUUAAUGAUUACCCCAAGACCCAAACACGUUUUGACCGAAUUCAAGCGGAUCCAACCAGAUUCAAUCGGAUACAAUAAAUGAUUCGUGUCAUCGUGUGGGUCUGAAUCAACUUUCGCCGCCUGCUGGCGGUAACAAUAUACCUCAUAAGUAUCUGUUAAAUCUUGUAAAGCUCCAUACUAUUUAAGCACAAAUCCCCCCCCCCCCAUCUCACACACACUCUCUCUCUCUCUCUCUCUCUCUCUCUCUCUCUCUCUCUCUCUCUCUCUCAUUUUAUCAAGCUUGAAUCUCAUUUUUUUACCUAUCCUACGUGCUGACCGUGAGUAUUUUGUAUGUCACACUUUUUAUAGAGUUUGCUAAUAUCUUCAUUAUUUAAUUUAUUCAACCAACACAUUACAUUUUGGACCAAUUAACUCCCCCAAUUAGGUUUGUCAGCCCCUUGAGGGAACAAUUGUUUCAUAGGAUAUCAUAAUUUGAAAUGCACUGUUUUGUUAACAAUCAUAAUAAAUUGUUUCCCUCAAUAAUCAUGGGCUCCCUUGUGAGGAGGAAAGCUACCAUUGUGACUGCAAUAGUAUGUUACUAUUACACCUACCAAUGUAGUGAACACUGGAAUGACAAUGGAUUACUAGCAUAGGAAGUAAACAGAAAUAGAAUGUUAAAACUACAGUGGUAUUAAGGUUUAUUUAUACCAGUAUUGAGCGAAUGCAUGUUUAUAAUGAACACUUGAACAGUACCGGAUGACACAUUGGCCAGCAAUGGUUCUGAUGUGUACCCGUUAAGAGCCCAGUGUGCAAACGGAAAAUUAAACCACACUGGUCCAAUAUAGGAAGGUAAAUUUGCUAACAUUGGAUGGCUAAUUGCUUUCAACGGAAAAUAACAAUGAUCCAGUAGAAAUCCAAUAUGUCUGUGUUUGCUGGGUUAUUUCUUGUCCUAUCCUUUUUAUUGGCCCUGAGGAAUUUACUGUCACCGUUAUGUCCCUCACACUUCAUUAAUCUUUUCUUUCUCUGAGCAGGAGACGUGGUGGGUGUCACAUUGCAGAUUCCCGGAGUGAAGGAUGUGAGGGAAGUGAGGGACAUGGUUUUGUCUGUCCUGACUUCAUAAUCCUUUGCGAUAUUGGCAGAGUAGCCCUUGAGAGAGAGAGAUGCGUAGACCCGGCCGAAUUUAUCUUAUGUAAUAUUUUCAUUAAUUUGCAAGUAUUCAUUGUAACACCACGCUUUCUCUUUCCAAUCCAGUGUUCAGCAGCCUUUCACUCAAGUGAACAACAGAGGAGUGGUAUAAAGAAAAAAUAGACGACCGAGUAGUAACGUAAUACCAUCACCCGGCUCUUACCUCCACCACCAUCACCGUCAUCCUUCCCCUUCCAAGUGGACUUUUUAUUAUUAUUAUUAUUAGUAGUAGUAGUAGUAGUAGUAGUAGUAGUAGUAGUAGUAGUAGUAGUAGUAGUUGUAGUAUUAGAACCUUCAAGUUUACUAACUCUUGGUCGCCCUCUCAGUAUAACCAAACCAUCUCAGUGUGUUCUUUUUCACCACUCCACACCCCAUAAACAAUAACUGGAAAUUUAAAUCAAUGAACGUGCAGUCCUCAGGGGCAACUCUGAAAUACAAUAAUGUAAGAGCUGGACUUUGUAAUGUGAAUAGUGUUAUGAAUAUAAGAUACAGUUAAUCUCUGACUUCAUAGCAGCAAAUGAACUGGAUAUCUUUUGUGUUGUUGAAUCCUUGGUCUUACCUGAAAUCCCAGACUCCUUUGUUCAAAUUAAUACCCUCAAAAUAUGUAGGACCAACACGAAAGGAAACACCAACAAACAUGGAGUCUGUACAUAAUUUUUUUUUUUAUUUUUAUAAAAGUUAACAUUGUGAUAA